rnacentral:rRNA from 1 species
UACAGAGGGUGCGAGCGUUGUCCGGAAUCACUGGGCGUAAAGGGCGCGUAGGUGGCGGCCCAAGUCCAUGGUGAAAGCUCGAUGCUCAACAUCGAGUCGGCCACGGAUACUGGGUUGCUCGAGCACUGUAGGGGCAGAUGGAAUUCCGGGUGUAGCGGUGGAAUGCGUAGAGAUCCGGAAGAACACCGGUGGCGAAGGCGGUCUGCUGGGCAGUUGCUGACACUGAGGCGCGACAGCGUGGGGA